UUCUGCUUAUCAGGGAAGGCGUAAAUUUCUUUCGUCCACGGAUUAAGGCCGUACUGGUUGGCGACGAUCAAC
rnacentral:rRNA from 1 species